rnacentral:rRNA from 1 species
CCUACGGGAGGCAGCAGUGGGGAAUAUUGCACAAUGGGCGCAAGCCCGAUGCAGCCAUGCCGCGUGUAUGAAGAAGGCCUUCGGGUUGUAAAGUACUUUCAGCGGGGAGGAAGGCGAUAAGGUUAAUAACCUUGUCGAUUGACGUUACCCGCAGAAGAAGCACCAGCUAACUCCGUGCCAGCAGCCGCGGUAAUACGGAGGGUGCAAGCGUUAAUCGGAAUUGCUGGGCGUAAAGCGCACGCAGGCGGUCUGUCAAGUCGGAUGUGAAAUCCCCGGGCUCGACCUGGGAACUGCAUUCGAAACUGGCAGGCUAGAGUCUUGUAGAGGGGGGUAGAAUUCCAGGUGUAGCGGUGAAAUGCGUAGAGAUCUGGAGGAAUACCGGUGGCGAAGGCGGCCCCCUGGACAAAGACUGACGCUCAGGUGCAAAAGCGUGGGGAGCAAACAGGAUUAGAUACCCCUGUAGUC